rnacentral:rRNA from 1 species
CCUACGGGUGGCAGCAGUCGAGAAUCAUUCACAAUGGGGGAAACCCUGAUGGUGCGACGCCGCGUGGGGGAAUGAAGGUCUUCGGAUUGUAAACCCCUGUCAUGUGGGAGCAAAUUAAAAAGAUAGUACCACAAGAGGAAGAGACGGCUAACUCUGUGCCAGCAGCCGCGGUAAUACAGAGGUCUCAAGCGUUGUUCGGAAUCACUGGGCGUAAAGCGUGCGUAGGCUGUUUCGUAAGUCGUGUGUGAAAGGCGGGGGCUCAACCCGCGGACGGCACAUGAUACUGCGAGACUAGAGUAAUGGAGGGGGAACCGGAAUGCUCGGUGUAGCAGUGAAAUGCGUAGAUAUCGAGAGGUACACUCGUGGCGAAGGCGGGUUCCUGGACAUUAACUGACGCUGAGGCACGAAGGCCAGGGGAGCGAAAGGGAUUAGAUACCCCAGUAGUC